rnacentral:lncRNA from 1 species
UUGGUAUACCCAAAUGUGGGACUUAAAAUAUUUGAUCACGGCUCAGUUUUGUCUUAGAUUGAUUGCCAAUAAAAAACUGUUCACAUAGUAUUGUAAGCAGCAGGCAACCUUAGUACACACCCUAAAUUUAGGAUGAAAUAAGUGAAUUUAGCAUCUGCAAUUCCUUCGGAGUUGAACAGAACACUCGAGCAAAUGAGAUUUAUUUGGACUUUUUCCAUUGUACAUUCUUGUUCUGAUCUGGAACAUUAGAUUACUGAGUUGUUGAAGCGUAAACUUGCUAAUAAAUGCACACAAAUCUUUGCCACAUAUGUUUUAUUCAAUCCUCAACAUCCUCUCCAUUGUACAUACAGCAUUAUUCUCCGGUUCACAUCAUACUAGAUGCUAUGCCCAAUAAUGAGAAUAGAUGUGGCAAAGGCAAUUUCAUGGUACUAGCAGCUAAAGCAGUACACAUUCCACUGUCGCGUCUAACAUUAAUCAUCCUAUUUCCCCUAACAAAAAGGAUCAUGGAUUUGGUUGUCCUUUUCGGUGAUUGAUUUCCCUGCGCAAUUACCUAAAUGUUGUUCAUGGGAAUUAAGCAUCAACAACCUCUUCAGUCUCUGCAGCUGCAAGGAUUAGGUCUGGUUGAGCAGUAUUGACUUCGCUUAGAGUUCCAUCUAGAGCAUUUGGCUGUCCCAAUGCCCUCAAUGCCAAAUGUGCCGCCUUUUGCCCAGAUAUCAUCAUUGCCCCAAAUGUUGGACCCUGCAACAUUACAAGCCAUUCUCACCAAUUUUAGCACCAUUUUCAACUUGUCAUCAACAAAUACGCAGCUACAUUAGAUAUGAAAGAACCCAAUUGUCCAAGAUAACAAAAGGCAAAUGAUCUUAACCUAUUGGAACAGUGGUAAUUUUACUUCAACGAUACCUAUUCAGAUUGUUUAACAGUAUCCAUUUCUCCACCUAACCUGGAACUAUGUUGAGGGAGAACUGAGGUGGACAAAGCUACAACUUAUCAGAUGAUAUGGCAAAAUUUGAUUAGAUGUGGUCUUUUGUAACCUAGCUGACAAGUUGAAUUUGGAGCAUAAAAUUGCUAGGCCAUUCAUCCAAUAAAUAUAAUUAUAUGUCAAAUUAAGAACAGAUAUAAAAGGUAGUCAUAAUUUAGGUAAAAGGCAUUACCAUUCUUGGGGCUCCGUCAAUCUCUGCAACUUCCAUGCCAGUGACAAUCAUCCCCGGAACGAUCUCCCUAGUAAGCCUGACAAUGGCAUCCUCUGCAGUAUUCAUGUCAAGAGCCUUCAUCCCCGGAACACUGUCAAUCAUUCCAAUGCUCUUGAGCCUCUUAACCCCAGUGGCUCCAAAAGGUCCGUCAUGACCACAAGAGCUGACCACCACUUUAGCCUCCAUGACAUUAGGAUCCAUGCAAGAUUGUGUGUCAUGGUUCAUCGAAACCAAAGCCCAGUUGGUCACAACUCCAGCCACUCUUCCACCCUUCACAAUCAAAUCCUCAGCAGCAACAGCAUUGAACAACUUCACAUUAGGCCGAGCCAAGAGCUUGCUCAUGAUAGUGGAGGUGAACAAAGCCGCGUGCUUGAUAACCACAUAGUUAUCUUGCUCAUCAUAUUCGACCUCAAGCUCAUCCAAGAACUUGUGAGCCGGUUUCCUCACAACCAUGGCGGAAAACAACUGCCCACCAAGCCAUGCACCGCCGCCAGGGCUAACAGAUUGUUCAAUAAUCGCGACACGGAUGUUGGGGUUCUUGCUGAUCUCAUAGGCGCAAGAGAGCCCCGCAGAGCCAGCGCCAACCACCACAACAUCAGUAUCCGCAUAGGUGAUCAUGUCCGUCAUGUAUCUCCUAGUCAUUUCUCGCGAAACAAUGGAUUCUUGAAUUGGUUGAAACUUGAAGGCAUCAAAGUUGUACUGUGGAGUGGAUGCAGACAUUGUAACCGAGAAGUUUUGCGGGCUAGACUUGACUGGCUGAACACGAGAAAGGAUAGGGGAGCCAUGGAAAGAGGACUUGGUCUCUAAGAAUGAUGGCUUAGGAGAAGAGGUAAGAGUUGUAGCCAUGGUUGCCAUUGAAAUUAAAUUAGUGGACGGAAUUCUUUGCAAGAGGGUCUUGGGCGAAGGGUCAAGAACUUGGGGUGAAGAGCAGAGAGGAUAGUGUAACAAGAUUUAUAGGGAGGAAAAAAGGUUGUCCAAAAUAUCUAAGAGAAAGAUCUCGAGAUGUGGGGGCAAAGCAGUGAACGUGUAGGGUUGAAGAAGAGAAGAUAGAAAUUGAACGAUUCAGAACGGUUUGGUGCGAUCGAGAUCGUGGGGAAUAUCACAUUAUCACCAACAGAUAUUUACUGCGACAAGUCACCUGUCACUGUUGAUUCCCUUUUCCAGCAGGCCUCUUGCUCCAAUGUGAGAAAGGAAAUGUGGUACUUGAAGAAAAAAUGUGGGCCAUUAUUUAGUCCAACAAAUUUAUUAUAUUCACUUGCAGCUGCAGGGCCAUUAUUUAGCAUGAUCAAGAAGCAAUAAAUAUUUAUCUCCCAAACAAAUUAAAACUCAACUUGCUUUUCUUUCCUUUCUAAAUCCCUCUCUCCCAAACUAGUCCUUAGAAUGCCCUCGUCAAAACAAUCUUUGAGACAUAUAUAAUACGCCCAUGAUCUCAUACGUAACAAGCUAAAUUAGAUAUAUAUGGUGACAAAAUUUUGUGACAGCCCUCUAGUUUCAAUUCUUCUCUUUUUGAGGUUGACGCUAAUUAAUUUCUACAAUGAGCAACAACCUUAUCAGUUAUCUCCUGAAUAUAUAAUAAAGUAAAGAUUUUCUUUUUCUUUCUUUUUUUGGGAAUGGAAGCCAAGUCCUAAGAAAGGCUCUUGCCGCUUUUGGACUUUUAAUAGCGCCUGCGCUUCCGCACGUCCCAUGACCCAUCCUCUCUUUCGCGAGUUGAGGUUGCACGGAAAAUGCAGUCACAGAAUUGUGUCAAGAUCCAUUUGGUAUUUGACAAAUUGUCUGCCUCUACAUUCAUUAUGGUCUUUAGUCGACAAGGAAAUGGCAUCACUUCAUAGAUUAAACAAAAGAAGUGCAACUCAACGAUGUAUAAAAUAUGAUCUAGAAAAAUAAUGCUAGUAGAUAAGAUCAGUCCUGUUCUAUUUUAUUCUGCAAAUAAAAAAAAAAACAAAAGAAGAAAGACGACUAUUGCUGACAGUUGACUCAAAACCUGUAAAACAUGUGCGUCCCUUGACCAAAAUCUGCAUGCAGUCCCAAUCUGACAAUCUCUCAUUUCCCCGAAGAUAUUAUAUUGUUUGAUUGCUAUGCAUAACAAAAUCGGGUAAAAGAUUUCGAAUCCAUUUGAAAAAUCAAAAGUUGAAAAAAUAGAUGUGUGGCAUAUGACAACAACUCAUCCAACUUGUUUGCCUUAAUUGUCAAUUCGGAAUAUUAUUUGUGUGAGACAAUAAUCGUAAUCAUGCUGGUAAAAUGUCUUCGAUUCAUUCAACCAAGUCGAGUUUUGAUCUAAUCGAAUCAAGUCUCAAUUUAAUUUUACCAAAUUCAAACUCGAACUCGACGAGCUCUCAAUAUAAAAUUUGAGUUCAAGGUCAACCUCAAAUUUGAGCGGAGUCAAGCUUGACCUUGACUUUUAAAAAAUAAAAAGUAAUUAUUUUUAAUUUUUUAAAAUAUGAAUAAAUUAGUAAUUUUUCUUAACAAAUAAUAAAAUAUUAUAAAUAUAUAUGUAAUUUCAGUAUUAAAAUUAUAUAUAUAUAUAUAUAUAUAUAUAUAUAUAUAUAUAUAUAAUCGAACCGACUCGCGAAUUAAUGAGUUAAGUAUCUUUGAACUCGAGUUCGAGUACAAACUCGACUUGAUCAGUUUGAACUCAACUCAAGCUACCCACUAGUUGCUCGAUUCAUAUGCAAGCAUAUUUAUUACCCAUGCUUCUUUAUUAUUAUUAUUAUUAUUAGAGUAAAUUAUCCAGAUAGCCACUGAACUUUUUGAUUAGUCAAGAUUUAAUUACUCAACUAUUAAUAGUAUGUUUUUACCAAUUGAACUGUCAAAAUGUAUAAAUUUUGAGCCAUUCUAUUUGAUUCUAUCGUUAACUCUGUUAAAUCUAAGGGUCUACACAAUUUAUGAAACAUACUAUUAAUAGUUAGAUCUGACAGAGUUAACGGUAAAAUCAGACGAAAUGAUCCAAAAUUUAGUAGGUAAAAGAAUACUAUUAAUAGUUGAAUGACCAAACUCGAUUAUUCGAAAAGUUCAGUGGCUACCUGGAUAAUUUGUUCUUAUUAUUAUUAUUAUUGAGAUUAAAUUAGAGUUGAUUAAAAUAAAUUUUAUUGUUGAAACAGACAUCGCACAAUGUGGGGGAAACAUUCCCACCAAUAAUUGUAAACAGGGUUGAAUUGAAAGAACUCUAUGAGCCAAUAGAUGAGCAAAAACAUUGCCAUGGCUCUUAAAACGGCGAGACCUCAGAGACCCUAGGAUCUCAACAUGAUCUAACACAAAAGCACCGCAAACCCUUUGCCUAAUUCCCGCAUCAUCACCAGCAAAAGCUCCUAGCAAUCCAAUCUUGCAAAGGCUGUGGGCAUCUAUCCACAGCUUUGCCUGGCUUGGAGAGCAUUUCUCAUCUCCCAUUUCUGUGAGAAUUAAAUAUACAUUUAAGAAUCAAGAACUCAAUCCUCAAACUUUUACUUUUAUUCAUGUUUACAAAAUUAAUAGAAACGGAGUUUUCGACCAUCCGAGUUUUGUGUAUUAUGGGGCCAAUAGAUUUCCAUUGUACAUUUGGCAACUAGUAUUUUUAUUUUAAUAUCAAUGAUUUUUUUAAACCAUGUAGAACUGUGGAAGAUUUGAGCUAUUCGCUUCGAGUUCACGAAUAGUUCAGUUAAAAACUCGACUCAAUCUCGACACUAACUGGGUUCGAGUCAAGUUUGAACUAUCUAUUUAAGCUCAUGAGUUGGGUUCAAGUUUCGGAUUCUAGUAUUCAAAUGCUUGACAAGCUCAUUUGAGUAGCUACAAUUAAAAUUAAAUUAUUAAUAUUAGAAAAUCACUGUUUUAGGUACGUUAUUCGUGAAAUUUACUAAAGAAAUUAGAACUACAAACCAAACGCGAGCUCGAGUACUAAAUUACAUAAAAUACAAUUCAAACAAAAAACCAAUGAAAUUUUUAUUUGUCCAAUUAGUAGUUAUUUUUUAUCACUCAAAGAUCAAAUACUAAGUUGGUCAAGCAGCUGGUCCAGACGUGAUAAAAUUUCUCGAAUUUGGCAUUGAAAUUUGGUAACAAACCCAGUUAAAUUGAAGGGAAUAAAGUUCCUGAAAACAAAGAUAAUCUGGAAGCAUUUCUCCGGAUGGAUAAAACAUGCAACAAAUCGCCAGGAAACUUAAAAAAGAUGCAUUAAAAUUCCCGACCUCUUCGUCCUGCGAGUAGGUACUGCAAUCUAAAAUCCAGUCAAACUUCAUUCAGAUACAGAGAUGAGCUGAUCAAGUAACAAAGUUUACGUUAAUUAGAGCCCCUCGGUGUAGGCGACUCCUGUGUUCUUCAACCAUUGCCCCCUUGAAUGAGCUGGGCCACUGUGAAUUUACUGGCCUCAGCUGCAGUGGUGAUUACACGAUACCCAGGCCAAUUCACCCUCUUGCUAGUCCCGCACCAGGGCCUUUGUUCAUGUACUCGCCGUAAUACAAAGUUUUCAAAGCAAAAUCACCACUCCAUGGUGCCCAGCCCGUUGGAUCGAUGUGAUCACCUAUGUUGGAUUGCAUUACUACAGUCCUCGAGUAUUCUUUCCACGGGCGGCCUAGAAAAGUUUUUAUGGUUGCCUUUACGGGCGCAAGGUCUGAGCUUGCAAUUAUGUCACAGUUUUGGAUUGAAGUCCCGGUGUUGGAAUUGGGAUCAACCCUACCUUGGGCGGUUACCAUGUUUUGCUGGUUACUCAGGGGCUUUCUCGCCACGAGUUGGGAGUUUUGGAAGACCACCGCAGCGUCGCCGAAGAUGUAGUCGACUGUGCCAGUGAUGUAACAGUCUCUGUAGAACUGGCGGAGGCUGUGAGCGUAGAGGGUGUCUUGGAAUGCAUCAAUCUUGCACCGGUUAAUGACCGACUGAUCGGCUCCGACGCGAAGUGCGACUGCUUGUUGUUUUGUGGCCCAGCAGUGUUUUGGAACCAUAUAUCUUGGCUAUGAAUCCAUCCGCAACAGCAGCUGUAAAUGGUACCAAAUAAACAUGAGAAGUUUUCUAGGACAAGAAGAAGAAAAACUAUCAAAGUUUUACCAUAAAGAAAGGAGAAGAACAAUAUCAGUGUUAAAUUCGAAGGUUAGAAUUUUUACCAACAGUUGCAGAUUGAAAUGUUGUUGACCCAUCCACAACGUUCAAACUGUCUGUGAUAAUGGUCAAAUCCAUGCCAUCCCCAACCAACAUCAAAUUCUUCUUACUCUUCCCAAUAUCAACUUUUUCCUUGUAUGUUCCUUUCUUCACAUAUAUGACAUAACGAGUCUGGGGAUUAUUCGGGGCAGCUGUAACAGCUUCUUGUACAGUUUUGUAGUUACCGCUACCAUCUUGUGCAACCACAACAUUAGCAUUAAUAUUCUUAGCUGAAGAUUGUAAGAGCCUUCGGUCCUUGUGAGUAACCCAUGAUGGGAAAUCACCAUUUAAUGGUUCCUGAAUCAUUUCUUCUUCACUUGGUGCAAUUGCAACCAACAUGGCCAAGGAGGCUCUAGCCCUCGAGAUCAAUUCUUUCAUCAGAGGCUCCAUUGCAGGACGGGCUAGACCAUUGAGCCCAUCUAGGCAAGUCACAUGGUUGGUUAGGACACUGCUGAGCCAUGAAUGGACAUCAGAAUGGGAAUUGGCUGUUUGACUUCCGAGAGACACCAUAGAGUCCAUAACUCUGUCCAUGGAUAUGUCCAUCAACUCCAGGCAAUCUGCUAGAGCGGCCUGCCCUUUUUGGUCAUUGAUCCGACGGUUAAUAUUGUUGGUCAACUCAAUGGUUUCUUGUAUCCGUGAUGAUGAUUUUGCUAAAAGCAUCUGAAGGAGCUCAACAUCGCUGGAUUGCAAGAGUCCAGCUGAUGUUAGCUCAGAAACCAGAGCCAUACAAGAAGAUUGAUCAUGGGCCUUGCUACACAGAUGUGAUCUCGGGGAAGAAGAAAUUACAGUUUGGGUGCUCUUGAGAAUUGUAAUAGAAGCUAUUGCAAUUGCACCCAAAAUAGCUGCUAAGAAGAGAACUAGAAAGAGGACUUUGAAGCCAGUUUUUUUCUUGGGAGCGUCUAGCAAAGAUUGGUAGGUGUUUGCCAUAAUGGUGACUUCCUAGUGUGGUACUGAGCUCACUUCUCCUCAAUCCUUAAAUAGAAGAAAUUCAAAACCGUAAGCCCAUAUGAAGUCAAAAUACUAGGAGUUUUUAAAUCGCUCUAAUGGAAUACAAAAGCAGAUAAACCCACAUGUAGUAGGUGAGAAGAAUUUUAUCUACCUGGGGCAUAGCUAUCGGUCGAUAUUACUAAUCUUUGGCUCUCUUUAAUCCUCAUUCAUCAGAUAGCUAGUGUCAACUUUAAAAGAAUGAUUACUAUUCCAUUAGCAAGUUGCAUUAUCAAAAUGAAACACCGCCAUCUUGUCCACUCUAAUCUGUUGAAUAAACAUAUUUAAGAGUGAAUCACGAAGUACCCAUGAAAGUAUCUAGAGAGUAGAAAUUCUUGAAUUAAAAGGCAUUUAGACUUUGUGUAAAUGAGUUCAUUGCUCAUACUACCAACCAUAUAUAAAAUCUAUACUACUAUGAAAGCUCUGACUGGUGCAGUUGAUUCUGAUUUUAGUCGUGAAAUUAACCAAGAAUUUGAUACCCCGGAUUGAAGCGGCCAGUGAUGAACCCACCCACAGUCAUUAACUUGUUUCAAGAGACCUUUGGUAUUUGUCUGUCAAGACAAUUUGUUUUUUUUUUUCCAAAUACAGAAUUUGUCAAGACUUCUUGCGAGCAUUAAUCAUGAGGAUAGUGGACAAUUAGGGCAUCUUCUUCUUAGAAUUUGUCACAUAUUAGUAAGCGGGGAAAAGAUAUAUUGAGAGGAUUCGAAUUUUAAGACUGAUAGUUGAAGAUGGGAAGAGUGUGAAGAGGGGUGAAAGGUAAAAAUAAAAUAAAAUAAAAUAAAAAGUAUAUGCCCUUGCCAUGGGAAGCAAUGCAUCAGUAGAUAAGAUCAGCAUUCAUUUCACAAAUUUAUUAAUCACAACUAGCAUAAAAAAAAAUUGACUGAAAAGCCAAAAGGCAUGUGAUCCCGGACUAAUCUAGUGAUUAAUCUUUUAUUUCUUUUAAAGCCAAUUUUCUUCUCAAUGCCAAUGCAUAAAAUUCUAUUUUGCCCGCAUAGAUGUGGAAUCCAGUUAGAAUACACAACGCCGACAUAAUUAUGAUUUAUGAUGCAAACGACAAGAAAUCCACAGCUGCCAUUUCUAAUUAAAUACGCCAACUUGGAAUACUUUGCGGGCUAAAGUCCUAGCAAUCAUGUGCACGAAUUCCUUUCAAUUUCAUUCAUUUUCUCUAGUUUAAUGUCAGCGUUAACACAAAACUAAUACUAUUUUUCCGUUUAAUGUUAGCUUGACAGUGAUUGAUCGUGAAAUCCAUUCUUCGAGUAAGUUUUGGAAUUUUCCCCAGGACACAAGUUUCUUCAAGUCCUUCUAAAGUAGAAGAUCAAUAAUCGUGCAACUUUCUAUUUUAGCCAACUUUUAACGUAUGUUGAAUUGAUUUGCAUGAAAAAGAAUCUUUGCAACGAAGAUUAUCUAAAACUGUAGAAUAAGGGAGAAAUUAUGAUUAAUUGAAAAUGUUCCAAAUAAAAAGAAGAAACUUUAGGUCAAAAGUUAAAUUCUAAAUGACACAACAUUGAAGUGAAAUUUGUCUUUCGCCGACUUAUUUAAUUUUCCUAAUUAUUAUAUAUUUUCUAGUAUUAAAAUUUUGGUUUGGCUAGGUACUAGUUUUUUCUUUUCAAAAAAUAUAAUUAAUUUAGGAAACUAUAUAAAUAUAAGAAGCAAUUAUUGUGAUUAUGUGUAUUGAUAUGGUAAACUAGGUGCAGUCCCAAUUGAGUCGGGUGCACCACUCACCCGUAUGGAUUUAAAACAAUUCUCAUAUAGAGACAUAUUGAUGGGAGACAAGGUUUGAACCCUUGACCUCCUAUCCCACUAUUAAUGUGGUUGUCAACUCCUCUAUUGGGAGUUGGUUUACUAUUCAUAGUAACUUAGUUCCUUGAUAAUUGUAUACAAAUUUUGCAUUCCUUAUAUAUCUCUUUACUUAAUUUAUCUCAUAGAAUAAUUAAUUCAAAAAAAAAACUUGCAAUUGUAGGGAAAGGGGGAUAAAGGAUGAAUAGAAAAAGAUUUUUGAGGGGGCAAGAAUUGUGAUAUUAUGAGUUUUUUUAUUAAAAUCUAUGGUACAAAAUAAAAAUCUUAAAAAUUUUUAGGGACCGGUUGCCCCUCUCCCCCUAAAUCCAUACUUGGUAUGGGUUAGAUUUAUUGCUAAACAUGUGUAUUUUAAAUACACAACUAUAACAAAACUCCUCAAAAACACUUACAAACUAUCCAAAAACACCCAAAAAUACACCCCAAAAAUUAACCCUAAUACGCAAAAAUACACCAAAAAAUAAAACUCAAAACACGCUAGCUACUGCGACUAAAAAAUUGGCUAGUCCUGUAUUUCCUCCUUUAUGUAGUAGUAGUACAUUUUGUCUGGUAACGAAUUACAAGGAUGAUCAAAUGAAUGUUCUUGUUAUGGUGGUAGCCUCACAUUAAGCCUCCUGAGCCAGAUAGAGUGAAGAACCAUAUGCAAUAAAUCAUACGGCUGAGCAGGUCGAUGAAGAAUAAAAUGGCGUUGGACUUGCAUGACCAUCUUCUGCUUUUUCAAGUACUCAUCCAUGGGGAUCGCUUGCAAGAUAGACUUGAGUUCUGGUAUCUUGGCAACUGGAACAGACACUGAAAACUGGCUCCAAUCCAGAACAUCGCUAAAAGGUGGAACAUAGCCAUCAGAAAUGAUCACAGGUACGCAUCCUGAUGAAAUAGAUUCCACUAUUCUAGGACUUGCCACUUCAUAGCCACUGGGACAUAAACAGAACUUGGAUCGCUCCAUAAAUUCGAAGUAAUCUACAUUUUCUGGGAGGUAUUCAUAGACUUGAAUAUCAGCAUCCUUGUCUUUCCAGUAUUGAAUUAGGCUUCCCCUUACAUGACCGUGAUGUCCACCAGCAAAAAAUGCAAGGAUGGAUCGUUGCUCAGCAGGUUUCCCCAAGACUGGUGGCCCUAGCCCCUCAUAAGGGAUUUUGAUUUCUGGUAAGGAGACGUCUCUAGUAGGUUUGAAACCUUCACUAACGUUGGCAUUGCAGAGCACUCUAAUCACAUUUCUGAACAGCGGAUUGGAUUUCGAAACCCAAGGCCCCUGUCGUAAACGUACAAUUACUUACAUGAAACAUGAACGAAAUUUGGAAAAAAUUACUAUCCAAACAUGUGGUGUGGAUUCUAAAAUUACUAGCCACCGUCAAAUUGUAUGUAUCUUGGCAAAAAAAAAAAAAAUUAUACCCUUUUGCACAAAAACUUCAAAGAACGGACUCUUUAUCAUGUGCCUUACUAGAAGAUUAUAAGAGAAGCCAAAGAUGUUGAUAAGCUUCUCAAUUUGCAAAUGGACGAAAGUUUAUAGGGCAAUAGUAAUUUGGAAGAAUGUUUAUUCGUUUCGAGGACGAAGAUUGAUUCUCCUUACGUUCAAACAAUACGAUAACAUAGCAUUCAUGUUACACAUAAGAAAACAAAGAUUAAAGAGAGUUAAAGAUCUUACCCAAUCAUGGCAGCUGAGAUAGAAAUGGUCAGCCCCAUUACUCCUGUUCCAAUAGUAGUACUUGCUUGAUAUCAGUCCAACAUAAUCUACAGCAAUAGUUUGGAUCUGACGCAUCAUCGAAUGGUAAUCGCGUGGCUCGAAGAGGUACUGAACGAUGUUGGUUAUGCCAAUGGGAAUGAAGAAUACCACCGCCUCAUCAGGAUCGCGAGAUAGGAACGAAGUAAAUGUAGUACUCGUAGAAUUGUUGAUGGCACCAUUCUCCAGUUCACUGAUGAACUGCCCGUCGAUGGAGUAGAUGUUGGUUCCAGGUGCAGCGUGGAAUAUUGGUGGCUCUCCCUCCUUGUAUACCCACACUUUGAACCGUUUCUCCAUCUCUAAGUAACUCCUACCAAUGGAUUUACAUCAAUUUUUCAUCGCAAUAUUUGAUUGAUAAACAUUAAUCAUGAUUAGUUAGUGAUUGAUAAACAUUAAUCAUGACCAGUGAUUGACAUGAACUCGGACAAUCCUAUCAUUGCCUAAACGUUUUUCUUGAGUAUUAGAAUGACGUGAUACCCUAAUCAUGAUCAAUGACAGGGUUUUUCAUACUACAUUUUUUGCUUCUGGUUUAGUUGUUAUUGGGAGUUUAAAUGCUGCAAAAUGAUAUACUACCAUUAUAACUUAGACACAGAAAGAAUCGUGUAAAGAGAGGAAUCCGCUGGAAAAACGUAAAUAAGUAAAUAGUAGUUGCUUAACUGAUGAAACGCGUGAGGAUUUUUAUAAGCGGAUCCUGCAGGAAUGAAUCUGUGAUGUUUAUGAAAUGCACAGGUACGAUUGGUCCUUGCCGCAUUAUAUAUAGCUACACGAGCUCUUGCCAAGCUAUCUUCUAUUCUUGCAACACCACUACCAGCAUGGUGGUGAGUAGAAAAAGUGGACAAAGAGAAGAAAUGGUUUUGGUUAUUAGGCAAAACAAGAAGAAAAUAAGGAAAAGAGAUGGACAUAGCAAUGACGGAAAGUUGCAACUGAAGUAGGCCAUGGAUCAACAUAGGUGAUUAGCUAAAGGUUUUAAUGACAUCAGUUGCCAUUUGCACUUGCCCUUUCUUUCUAUCUAUAUAUAUAUAUAUAUAUAUAUAUGGGAAGUUGUGAGUUAUCAAAUUUAUUUCAAAUAAUUUUGAAUGGUCUCUGGAAAAUGGAGAUAGCGAUAAUUAUAAUUAUGAUAACAGUGGAGGAAUUAAGGGAAGUAGAAUUCUAGUGAACAACUCUGUUAACAGAUGAUAAGCCAUGCAGGGAAAGAUGAAGGACAUCUACAACAAACUUUUCCCACCAGCUCAAAUUGAAGAUUAACACCACACUUUCUCCAACUUUUACGUGAUAUAUCAACCCCUCUUCUCCUAUCUAAUACACCACUUAAGAUCCGACCUUUUGCAUUUUGCAAUAUGAAGCCAUGCUACCUAAUUCGCAACGUUUAAAUCUUAAUAUUUUGUGACUGACAACAUUGUCUUCGAACAUCAAAUCGAUCUAAAUUCUAACCCUCUUCACGAUGUAUUUGCUAGUUUUCUUUAAAGGACACACAUUAAGGUACAGUACAGUGUUUCCUCUUCCACAUUUCGUAUGGUUACUUAAACAAACAAUCUCUUCUAGAAGAGAUUAUCCGUCUUCUUAGUCUUCGACACAGGAAAGGAAAUUUUCUAAACCUUUUUUGUGUCAAAAGAGUAACGAUUCUUGAUCCUGUUCAUAACUUCAAUUGUCUUGGCCUUAAAAAAAAAAAAAAAAGAGUCAAUCGUCUUCUUGCAUUUGCGUGGAUUCAAUACUAGGUUGAUUUUGUGAUAUUUUCGGAAGGGAUAAUAGAUAUCUUAGUCCCAAUAUAGAAUAUAGUCCCUUUUGUUUUAUCAACAAAAACACACUCAUGUUCGUAAAAUGAAUGAACCAAUUUGGUCCCUUGUGAUUUUGACGAAACUAAUCCAGUCCCUAAAUGCAUGUUGUUACUUGUUGGCUGCUGGCAUACAGACUAGACUUUGCAGAGUUAGUCCAAAAAAUCCUUACGAAUCUGAUAUUUACUCCAUUUAAAUCUGCCUCGCGUAAAACAAUGUGAGACACAACAAUAUAUUUAGCAUAUCAGAUUUCUGGAACAAAACAACAAUCACGAUCGAACUUCACAGGGCAACCUUUUCUCAUUUUCACAUGUUUUCUUUAUCGGAAGAAUCAAUUGCCAGGAAAAGGACUGUAUUCAAGCAUAGUUGAGGCGAAAUAUGUCGUUCAACACGAAAAAGCUUCCUUCCACCGUGGGUAUCAAAUGAAACAUCUGCAUACCAUGGACAUACAAAUGUGUUACUCUUCUACAUGGGACAAAACCCAAGAAAUGAUUUCAGCAUCCUAAGAAUAAAGUAUCUUGUUAUAGAUGAACAAUUUAUGGAAUAAUCAAGAAAAUGUUUAAAAGAUAAAACCAAAGGGUGAUUUUUUAAAUGCAUCUACACUCUACAGCAAGAAUUAAUUUUUUUUUUUUUUAAAAAAAAGAGGAGUUCAUGCGUACCUGACUAAACCUUAGAGGAUGGUCCUCUCCUUGCAGUUGGAGGGUACCACUGACGAAGACUAAAAUGCCUCCAGCAAAGGAUGAUGGUUGAGAAUCGAUGGUGCUAAUUACGUGAUGGCAUUGCUGGAAUGGCAAUUGCACCAACUUUGCAAUUAUAUUAUCUGUCCCUGAAUCUUUUGGCCUUCAAAUGUAAGCAUGGAAGUUGGUUGUAGCAGAAGAGCAAGAGAAGGUCUGUCAUUAUCAAACAGGUGGUAGUAAUGAUCCACAAAUGCUUUCCCCACCAUUUCAACUUGUUCUUCCAUCUUUCCUUUUCUUCCCUCGGACUUUGAGAAUUUAGGAAGAAUAACUGCAGCAGUUGUGAAGAUUAUAUGAGCUAUGACACAAUAGAAAAAUAUGAUUUUGAUAGGUUCACAAGGGCAAUUAAAUAGAAUAUGCCGUUCAAGGCAUCUCCCAGUCUGCUGCAUGGCUACGCUAAGUUGUGAAAAAAGACAUUAUUAAAUUUGGGGUGCGUAAUGCGAUCUAGCACAGAGCAUCUGCCUGAAGCAAACCGACCCCUCUUCGUUUACAGGACUUUUUUGCCGCCCCAGAAGAACUUUAUCCAUAGAGAUUGAAAAAGAACGUGUCGGGAGGAAAAACUGCUGUUUGAAAGUUGAUUUCCCUCAUAGGGAAGUCUUCAAGACGCAAAAUGAUCCGUUUACUUUCUUGGGGAAGGAAUAUAUUCUUUAUUUUGACGAGAGUUUGUUUUCCUGGCUGAUGCUUAUGCUAAUAAGACUAUCACCACAUCCCAGUACAUGGACCUUAACAUCCAUAAACAUUUUCUGCUCGUAGAUUAUGUAGAGACUGCAUCAACUUUGAACAUUCUAUCCUGUCAUGCCUAACCAAGCACUCUCCUGUCCACAGAGGAAGGUUUCAUUCAUCACAAGUAAGUUCCGACUCAUCAUGGUGAUGACCGACAUGGCCUUGUCUAACUUUAAGAGCCCAGACAUUUAUAUAUGACGACCUCAAUGGACAAAAACAGUUUUAACAGGGCUAUUGAGAAUGCACUGGGAUGCAUAAUCACCAGAGGAUUCAACCUCUCCCGAAUUUGAUGAGCUGUGAUUCAACAAAGGUAAAUAACAAAUUGCUUUAUUCACCGUAUCAAGACUUCGUAGACUACUAUGAUACAACUGCAGAUCCUCCACUGCCACUAUCAUCAUUAAAAAUACAAGAUUCAUUCUUUAACUAGGUGAGAGAACAUUGAAAAGCCAAAGACGUUAUCACCAAAGAAUGCACGUCUUUGACUGCCAAGUAAAAGCCUCUGCUAUUCACUAAUUUCAAACUCAAGAGUCAUGCUGGAUAUACUUAUCUGCAUUCCUCUCAGUGUGGAAAUGGAGAUAAUGGAUGACAUCAUUAUCCAUAAGCUAUAGUUCAUGCGGAUACAAAAUCAACAGCAACCCUAAAUUAAUAGGGUCAUGCCCAAAACCACAAUCAGUUUAUCACAACUUAUUUUAUGUCCAUGAGAACAGAAGGCAACAGAUCAUCUAAAACUGGAAGAUAAUCCUAGGUGAACUUGUGCCACCAUGGACCUGUAAGCCAAUAUGUAGGUCCCACAUUCUCAUCUCACAGUCCAUGGUGGCACAUGUCCAUCUAAGAAUUUAGCAAAAGACUGGACAGCAGGGAAAAGUAUAUCUCCAAGCAGCUACAAAAUCAUGUUAUCAAUGGCAUAGCUUAUAUCCUUGUACCAUCUUCUAACUGAGAUGAAAUGCAGAGUUACCAUGACAAAUUCAACAGAGAUUAUCUCCUCAAUCUCAUAAUUCCUGGCGAAUUAAAAUGGACAAAUAAGAAGAGAGUUUUUUUUUGGGUUGGGAGGGGGGGGGGGGGCUCUGUGUGUGUGUGGGAGAGGGUGAGGAAACUACGGGCACUAUAAGUAGAUGCCUCAUCUAAUAAAGAAAAAAAAUGAAGAAAUCCAUAAGCCAUCCAUGAUUCCAUUCAGCAAAAGCUUAAGGGUGCCAGGAAGCUCCUCCUUCAAUUUAGCAAAGGAAUCAAGAAAGAACAAAAAAUUACAAAGAAGAUAAGCUAAGAGUCACCAAAUAUAUUGACAAUGCCAAUUAAGAAUAUUUGCUUAAGACAUACAGAGUCUUUAUCAAAAGUUGACUCAUUGGUCAGAAUCAAACCAAAAUGGUUAUGAAUUAUGAUCAACUCAAAGCACAGUGAGCAACAAAAUCAACUGAGAUACCAGCUCUAAAUCCAGAUUUUCCACCAUCAUCUUGUUCAUGUUUCUUGUUUUUUAUUUAAACACACCUGGAAAGGGGCAUUCAUAUAUUUAUAUACUUUUCAGCACUUUUACCUUUGCCAGUUACACCUCUUAUUUAUUCCAUUUCUAAGAUCCUAUAACAACUUGUCCAAAAAAAAUCCUUGCUAUGCCUGUAAUAUAGUAAUUGAGGAUUGGGGAAUUUUUUCUCCCUGCGGGCCCCCGGGGGGGGGGGUGUGGGGAACAUUUGGAAAACAGAGUUCGCAGGUUACUUAUAAUUACUGGAAACCUCUAUGCUUUACUCUAAUGACCACAACUGUGCGAAUCAAUAAGCAUCUCAAAUAAAGUAAAGAAGAUAUAAGAGUUGCCACUUCAUCUAUUAGCCUCUACAACAGGACAAGGGGACUCUAAAACUCAAUUCUUUGUGCCAAAUGUAGCAUAAUUAAACCCCCUCUCACUUUACCUAUGCCAAAAGGAAGUCUUACCCUUUUCUUUAACCAAAUUAUAAACAUCAUCUAAAUGUGUAAAUUUCAGAAGAUAGACCACGCAACAAGGACAUCCAAAAGUAUUUGACAGAUUAGUCCCAGAAUUACAAGAAAGCAGACAUUCAUCUAUAAAUACAAAAGAGAAAGACUAAGACACAAGUAACUCAACAAGUUCACAAUGUAUAUUCUAAAGCUAAACACGGCUGGGAAAAUGCUUGUUGGAAACUCACUAGUAGUGAAUGAAGCACGGUAGUAUCCAGCCAUUGCAAACAUAAAAUUUUUAAUAAACUGUUUAAGGCAUAAUAUGAAAUCAGUACGAGAAAAGGUUGCACAUUGCCAGUGUUGAAAAUUUCGACCAGCACAUAUAGUGCAGUCUCAGGUAGCGGUGAGGUAUACAUCCAUCCUAAGUAGAAAUAAAACAGACAAUGUAAAGUCGAAAUAUUUAUGUCGUCACUUAAAUUUCCUUAUCACUUGCUCUGUCUUACAAUCUAAACUGGUACAAAUCUCUUACCCAAAGCCAAUGGCUAAGGCGCCUCUACGUCAAUCAGCCUCAAAUCAAUCACCACAAUCACUUCCAGCUUGUUGGCCAGUAAGCGUGAAUACCAUAUCCAGUCUUCCAAUUAUCCAAGAAGACCACCUUCUGAACAGCCCAGAAGGAAACAAACAUCACAAAAAUCAUCACCAACCUCUGAGCAUUCCUAUUCCUCACAUAGACAAGCACAUGAGUAACAAAAGCCAGCAACAAUCCCACCACAGUGUACAAGAACCCAACCGCGAACCCUUCAGCUCCCAACUGCAUCCCGGACCCCUGAUAAAAGAAAACCAACUUCCCAGGAUCAUUCCUAUCAACCAAAAACAUGGGCAUUUUCCUAAUUAUGUUAUGCAUUGACCCGGAGACACUGAAAAAGUAGACGAAAAUCGCUCCGGUCAUCCAAACGCUCUUAUUGUGCAAAAGGGUGUUCCCAGAAAUCACUUUUUUCACCAAGAAUGGAGCCCAAAUCAGAAUAACACAACAGAAACAUCAAUUGCUUCUUAGAAAUCAAAGGAGGGCGAUCAAUCGGCCCAAUGCUCAGCUUCGUUUUGGCCUCGACAAAUUCAGCCAUGGAUUCGGCGAGCCUCGAGAAAUCUGACGCAUCCAUCUGGAAGGAGUCUUUCUUGACAUCGGUGGCUUCAGCGGGGAUAAGUUUGAUGUGGGCAGAGAAUUUACUCCGAAAAGGGCGAAAGAGGACUGGGAUUCUUGAAAUUCAAUGUCGAAGAAGAACAGUUUUGAGUGAGAAGCUGGAGGGUUGUUGGCUAAAAAGGAUUUAGAGACGAGGAGAACUCGGAUUUGAGAGAAGGGAGGGAGAGUUCGGGUUUGGAGUGGAGUUGUUGGGCGUCAAAGAAGAUGAGGAAAGUAAAGGGACGAGGAGCUGGAAUGGAUAGGAUCCGUUUGAGGAGGGAAUCAGUGAGAUGGAUAACGCCGCCAUUGGGGGACUGGGAUUGGAGGGAUUCGAGCUGGACGAGCAAAUCCGAAGUGAGGUCUUGAGAAUUGGUGAGAUCGGGAGGAGGGUGAUGAGGAAGAGGACGACGAAGAUUGGGGUUUUUGUGUAGGCCAUUUUGCUGCCUGCUAUCGUGGAGGAGGAAUCAGGAAGAGGGUUUCAACUUCAACGAGCUCCGGAGCCCAAGAGAACAAGGGUGCCUUUGCACUGAGUCAUUGACUGACUGGCUGGAUUUUUGAGGAAGCUGAUUGGUGGAGAAAGAGACGAUGAGGUGUAUUGAAUUUUAUUUUCUUUUUGUUUCCCAUUAUUUUAAGACCAAAAUGAUAGAUUUUUCUUGUAAUUUUUUUUUUUAUUUUAAGACCUAAAUGGAAAAUCGUACACUUUACUUUCUCCACCUUAAUGAGUCAGGUAAUUUGAUUUCAGACCUGAUUAUAUGUUUCUAAAAAUGCAAAACUUUGAAGCACUCAUUUAGUUAAAUUGAUUCUCCGAAAAAACUAGUCUAACUCUUUUGUUUCUUUUUGGUAACGUAUAUAUCCACUCGAAAAAGAGUCAGAAAAGAUAAUACUAGUACAAUUCCACUGAUUUGAGGAGAAACUAUAUAACAACAAAGUGAUACUGUGAUGGGGAACACAUGUUUUCCUUUUGAAACUUCCCUGCAUGAGCCAGCAGGAGCAACUCCGGCAACACGAGUAGACGAUUUUAGUUACCUAAACUGCUCAAUUCUGUUGAGUGUGAAAGCCUGGAUCUCUCAGAUGGAGGGAUGCCUAACAUUAAAACGGGAAGAACUACCAAAAUGCUAGCAUGGUAAUCCUAUUAAUCUCCAGCCAGCAGCUUAAAUUCCAAGUGCUAAUUAAGAUAGGGAAUAUAGCUAUAUGCACAAAGGUGGCUCAGUAACAGCAAGCAUUCAUCCAAAGCCAGAGAUCAGGCGUUUAUAUGUUCUUCCAUUAGGCUUAAGACCCAAUCUCAACAUUUCAUCAUGCAAUUUCAUGGCUUUCCUGAAUUCUUUCAGAUAACAAAGCUCUCUGAUCAUGAUUGCAAAACUUUCAGUGCUGAAUAUUUUAUGCAUUGUCAUGUAAUCAAAUACCUCAAGGGCUUCUUCCACCCUACUUUCUUUGAAGAGCUUAUUCAGAAGUGUGUUAUAUGAUGGGAUAUCAAAAUUGCCUCCCAACAUCUUCAUUUUAUUGUGCAACAUAAUGGCUGAAUCAAUCUGCCUGCGAGAGCAAUAAUACUUGACUAAAGAGCAACAACAGUCAGCAUCUGGCAGCAGCAGCCCCUUGUCUAGAAUCAAAAUUAAGAGCUCCUCAGCUUCUUUCCACCUACAGUGUUCGCACUGAGCCUUAAUAUGUUCGGAUAGCUGUGCUACACAAGGAUCAAAUCCUUUACCUAUCACAUCUUUUAGCAAGUCAUGAAUUUCUUUUGAUGGUGUCUGUGUGCAAAGACCAUUAACAAAUGCAUAGUAACAACUAUCUUUCACCACCAUUUUUCUCUCUCGCACAAUACCAUACAUUCUACUAGCAUCCUUCAUUCUGCCAUCAUUGGACAAUGCUCUUAGCAUACAUCCAUAAGUAGCAUCGAGCAAUUCAACCUUCUCAGCACAGGCUCUAUCAAAAAGCAAACCUGCUGCAUAUGUCUUCCCCAAAUCAGCAACCUUUUGGAUAAUUGAAUCGUACUGCAAAAUAAGACCUUUUGGUAGAUACCCCUUGUCUUUCAUAACUGCCAUUACCACGUUAAUCACUUUCUCAUCUUGAUAUUUACAAGCAGCAUCAAGAAUCGAGCUAUAAAUACUAAAGCUUGGAUCGAGCUUUUUAUCAUGCAUUUGAGCUACAUAAUCAAAUGUAGCAUCAAACUUCCCUCUCUCACUGUAAUUCUGAAUUAUCAAGCUGUAAACCGAAGGAUUACAUAUUCCCAUAUCCAAAAUCCUGCAAAUUCUCUCAAAUUUGCCGUCUUUACAAAGAAUCCUGGCAACAACAGACCAGGUAAACUGAUUUUCUGAGACCCCAUUUCGAAUCAUUGAACCAUAAAAACACCAAGCCAGUCUGACCUCAUUCUUAUCUUGCAGCAAACUUAGCAAUGCAUUACAACUAUAAACUGAAACCGUACCGGUCCCCAUUUUUUAGCUUUCCAAUAAACUUCUAAAGCUUCCAAAAAUAAUCCCCUACGGCAAUAACCCUCGAGAACAGAGCAUAAAACAGGGGAACACGUCUCAAAGUUAGCAACUUUAUGAAAACAACUCACGAUUCGGCCUAAUGGGUAGUCUAGGAUUAUAGAAUCCAAGAUGGGUUUUGCAAGCUCGGCUUGUCCAUACCCGACUAGCAAAUGGGUCAGCUUGCACUGGCUUUUGAGGUCAGGUUGGAAAUCAAGAUUCUUCUUGGCCCAGUUGAAGAAGGUGAGGGACAUCUGAGGGGAACUUUUAGUGUUUUCGAGGACUCGUAGGAAGAGAGAAGGGUGUAAUUUGGUGAGUUUGAGGGUGGACUUAAGAAGUGGUGCCCAGUAUUUUGUCUGUCUUUGCAAGAGGAUAGACGAGACCUGGGUGGUCAGUUGGCUUUCUUGGACUCGUGUUCUCCAAUUUGAGCUUUCUGAUGCUGAACUUGAGAGGUUUCUGAUCAAGAUUUUAUAUUCUUUGGGGAGAGGCAUUUGGAUUUUGGUUCAGCGAGCUGAGGUUUCAAGGGAAUUAUAUAUACGUCGAGGAAACGAAGUUAAACGAGCGCCUUUGAGAAUCGACAGCGAGGUUUGGUAUACCCAAAUGUGGGACUUAAAAUAUUUGAUCACGGCUCAGUUUUGUCUUAGAUUGAUUGCCAAUAAAAAACUGUUCACAUAGUAUUGUAACAGCAGGCAACUUAGUACACACCCUAAAUUUAGGAUGAAAUAAGUGAAUCUGCAAUUCCUUCGGAGUUGAACAGAACACUCGAGCAAAUGAGAUUUAUUUGGACUUUUCCAUUGUACAUUCUUGUUCUGAUCUGGAACAUUAGAUUACUGAGUUGUUGAAGCGUAAACUUGCUAAUAAAUGCACACAAAUCUUUGCCACAUAUGUUUUAUUCAAUCCUCAACAUCCUCUCCAUUGUACAUACAGCAUUAUUCUCCGGUUCACAUCAUACUAGAUGCUAUGCCCAAUAAUGAGAAUAGAUGUGGCAAAGGCAAUUUCAUGGUACUAGCAGCUAAAGCAGUACACAUUCCACUGUCGCGUCUAACAUUAAUCAUCCUAUUUCCCCUAACAAAAAGGAUCAUGGAUUUGGUUGUCCUUUUCGGUGAUUGAUUUCCCUGCGCAAUUACCUAAAUGUUUUCAUGGGAAUUAAGCAUCAACAACCUCUUCAGUCUCUGCCGCAAGGAUUAGGUCUGGUUGAGCAGUAUUGACUUCGCUUAGAGUUCCAUCUAGAGCAUUUGGCUGUCCCAAUGCCCUCAAUGCCAAAUGUGCCGCCUUUUGCCCAGAUAUCAUCAUUGCCCCAAAUGUUGGACCCUGCAACAUUACAAGCCAUUCUCACCAAUUUUAGCACCAUUUUCAACUUGUCAUCAACAAAUACGCAGUUACAUUAGAUAUGAAAGAACCCAAUUGUCCAAGAUAACAAAAGGCAAAUGAUCUUAACCUAUUGGAACAGUAGUAAUUUUACUUCAACGAUACCUAUUCAGAUUGUUUAACAGAUCCAUUUCUCCACCUAACCUGGAACUAUGUUGAGGGAGAACUGAGGUGGACAAAGCUACAACUUAUCAGAUGAUAUGGCAAAAUUUGAUUAGAUGUGGUCUUUUGUAACCUAGCUGACAAGUUGAAUUUGGAGCAUAAAAUUCUAGGCCAUUCAUCCAAUAAAUAUAAUUAUAUGUCAAAUUAAGAACAGAUAUAAAAGGUAGUCAUAAUUUAGGUAAAAGGCAUUACCA